UGCCAGCAGCCGCGGUAAUACGAAGGGUGCAAGCGUUACUCGGAAUUACUGGGCGUAAAGCGUGCGUAGGUGGUUCGUUAAGUCUGAUGUGAAAGCCCUGGGCUCAACCUGGGAAUUGCAUUGGAUACUGGCGGGCUAGAGUGCGGUAGAGGAUGGCGGAAUUCCCGGUGUAGCAGUGAAAUGCGUAGAGAUCGGGAGGAACAUCUGUGGCGAAGGCGGCCAUCUGGACCAGCACUGACACUGAGGCACGAAAGCGUGGGGAGCAAACAGGAUUAGAUACCCUGGUAGUCC
rnacentral:rRNA from 1 species